GCAGCUACCUGCAGUCGGACGGUAGCACAGAGGAGCUUGCUCCUCGGGUGACGAGUGGCGGACGGGUGAGCAAUGUCUGGGGAUCUGCCCGAUAGAGGGGGAUAACCACUGGAAACGGUGGCUAAUACCGCAUAACGUCNCAAGACCAAAGAGGGGGACCUUCGGGCCUCUCACUAUCGGAUGAACCCAGAUGGGAUUAGCUAGUAGGCGGGGUAAUGGCCCACCUAGGCGACGAUCCCUAGCUGGUCUGAGAGGAUGACCAGCCACACUGGAACUGAGACACGGUCCAGACUCCUACGGGAGGCAGCAGUGGGGAAUAUUGCACAAUGGGCGCAAGCCUGAUGCAGCCAUGCCGCGUGUAUGAAGAAGGCCUUCGGGUUGUAAAGUACUUUCAGCGGGGAGGAAGGCGGAUAACA
rnacentral:rRNA from 1 species